rnacentral:rRNA from 1 species
UACGGGGGGAGCAAGCGUUGUUCGGAUUUACUGGGCGUAAAGGGCGCGUAGGCGGCCUCUGCAAGUCGACUGUGAAAUCUCCGGGCUUAACCCGGAAAGGUCAGCCGAUACUGCAGGCUAGAGUGCAGAAGGGGCAACUGGAAUUCUCGGUGUAGCGGUGAAAUGCGUAGAUAUCGAGAGGAACACCUGCGGCGAAGGCGGGUUGCUGGGCUGACACGUGACGCUGAGGCGCGAAAGCUAGGGGAGCAAACGGG